UACAGAGGGUGCAAGCGUUAAUCGGAAUUACUGGGCGUAAAGCGUGCGUAGACGGUUAUGUAAGUCGGGUGUGAAAGCCCCGGGCUCAACCUGGGAAUUGCAUUCGAGACUGCAUAGCUAGGGUGCGGAAGAGGGAAGCGGAAUUUCCGGUGUAGCGGUGAAAUGCGUAGAUAUCGGAAGGAACACCAGUGGCGAAAGCGGCUUCCUGGUCCAGCACCGACGCUCAGGCACGAAAGCGUGGGGAGCAAACAGG
rnacentral:rRNA from 1 species